rnacentral:lncRNA from 1 species
CAAAUUUUGACAAACUUGAAACAUCUUUUGUUGGACAUAGGAAGUAGAGUAAUUAGUCAGCCAGUUCCAUUGUUCCGGACGCACGGUGGAUGCCGUAUAUAGACUCGCUGACUCGCGCGCAUAUGCUAACAAAGCUAAGUACGUACUCAAUUAUUCGGCCGCUAUACGAUUACGUACGUACUUACGUGUGUAUGUAUUGCUCGAUGCAUACACAAGUGGCAAUUAAUAUAGAGCGAUCUUGUAUGAUGUAAGUAUGGCUCGAUUUUGUAGUGUUUGUUGCGCCCGAUUAUGCUGGGAGACGGAUGCCGUAUGUACACUCGCAGCUAAGCUCCAAAACACGGAGUGACUUGUACUAAUUUCGCGGUUGACCAUUAACAGUUUUACUAUCUGAUUUGAUUUUAGAGUGGCCCUUGGCUAAUUUAUUUGUAUCAUAAGGACCUUAAGGUUUGUUACAACUUAAUUAGGUACAAGAUCACCACGGCCACGUAACUCCCUACGGCUACGUACGUACGAACGCAAAAACGACAAUCCUCGCAGUGCAAAGUACUCCAAUUUACUGGCAUGCAGCUCGAAACAACGGUUAGUAAGAUCGUUUGUCGAUCAAAACAAGAAAGUAAAACACGGUUUGAUAAGAUAUAGGGGGCAUCGCCCGGCCGGGAGCGGGAGAGAUCUCAUGAUGCUUCCAAUCAAGAGCAUCUCUCUGAUGAAUAUGCUGAAGCAAGCCUGGUUAAUUAGCCACAUGCCACACCGUCGACGUGCUAGCAUAUGAUGACGAUCACGAUGAUGAUGAUUGCUUGAUUAGGACAUCUGUAAUGACGAAUCAGUUAGACGCCUAGUCAUUUUGAUGGGUCUCGUCGGUCUGACCACUAUUUGAUUGCAUUUUUUAUUGCUAAUCACAUCUCUAAUGAUACAGGCCAUUGACUUUAGUCUUUUCAAAAAAAAAUUAAAAAAAAUACUAUAGAUACAAUGUUUCCGUCAUGGACCGUAGGCCGUCAAAGUCGGCCCGCCCUCGUAAACAAACGGCCCAACAUUAUCAAGGGAAAACACGUAUCUGAUCUUCCUACGACUUCACAACGUAUCAAACUUAAUGGGCCGAGUUACAGUAAAAAAAUACUAUUGGGUCGACACCACAAACUCUGUCAAAUCUGUCCGUUCCGUUUCUGGAUCUGAAAUCCAAUAUAGCACUGGCCACAUGCUUGAAAUUUCUGCCUUUUUUAGAGUUUGAUUGAGGUUGCACAUCGAACUUAGCAUCCUAGUAAUAUACUAAGUUCCUCUCAAAAAAAAAAGUAAUAUACUAAGUACUUGUUCCUCUGGUCAACAUCAUCUUUCCUGUUGAUGCUGACUGGAGUGGAAGCUCGAUGAUUUAAAUUCUUUCUCUUUUUUUUUCAUUCAAAACAGCAUCCUUUUGUAGUCACCGGCGGAUACAUAGGGUGGCCAGGGUGGUCCAUGAACCACCCUGAAAAUACAGGCCAUAUACAUAUACACUAGUGUAUUUUAAACCUAUUAAAAAAAAUCAGCCCGAGCAAAUUGCCCAUCUCCCUGACUAGUUAUUGUUUCUUUCUGUUGUGUAGUAUACGCAUCUAGCAGCCUAACGAUUGAUCACGAGCAGUUAGCAUCGUAUCGUAUUUCUCGUCGAGCAGACGAGCACGAGAAGCUAACAUCUCAUCGUAUUUCUCGCCAUC